UACGGGGGGGGGCAAGCGUUGUUCGGAAUUACUGGGCGUAAAGGGCUCGUAGGCGGCCCUCUCAGUCGGAUGUGAAAUCCCCAGGCUCAACUUGGGAACGGCAUCCGAUACUGGAGGGCUUGAAUUCGGGAGAGGGAUGCAGAAUUCCAGGUGUAGCGGUGAAAUGCGUAGAGAUCCGGAAGAACACCGGUGGCGAAGGCGGCUCGCUGGGGCAGUGGCUGACGCUGAGGCGCGACAGCGUGGGGAGCAAACGGG
rnacentral:rRNA from 1 species